UUUGAUCACCGAAGUUAAGCAUCGUAGAGCCAGGUCAGUACUUAGAUGGGGGACCGCUUGGGAACACCUGGUACUGUAAGC
rnacentral:rRNA from 1 species